rnacentral:rRNA from 1 species
AAGCUUAGUGGCGAACGGGUGAGUAACACGUGAAGAACCUGCCCUUCAGUGGGGGACAACAGUUGGAAACGACUGCUAAUACCGCAUAAGACCACAGUACCGCAUGGUACAGUGAUCAAAGGAUUUAUUCGCUGAAGGAUGGCUUCGCGUCCGAUUAGGUAGUUGGCGAGGUAACGGCCCACCAAGCCUACGAUCGGUAGCCGGACUGAGAGGUUGAUCGGCCACAUUGGGACUGAGACACGGCCCAGACUCCUACGGGAGGCAGCAGUGGGGAAUAUUGCACAAUGGAGGAAACUCUGAUGCAGCGACGCCGCGUGAGGGAAGAAGGUCUUCGGAUUGUAAACCUCUGUCUUCAGGGACGAUAAUGACGGUACCUGAGGAGGAAGCACCGGCUAACUACGUGCCAGCAGCCGCGGUAAAACGUAGGGUGCAAGCGUUGUCCGGAAUUACUGGGUGUAAAGGGAGCGCAGGCGGGAAGGUAAGUUGGAUGUUUAAUCUACGGGCUCAACCCGUAUCAGCAUUCAAAACUAUUUUUCUUGAGUAGUGCAGAGGUAGGCGGAAUUCCCGGUGUAGCGGUGGAAUGCGUAGAUAUCGGGAGGAACACCAGUGGCGAAGGCGGCCUACUGGGCACUAACUGACGCUGAGGCUCGAAAGCAUGGGUAGCAAACAGGAUUAGAUACCCUGGUAGUCCAUGCCGUAAACGAUGAUUACUAGGUGUGGGAGGAUUGACCCCUUCCGUGCCGCAGUUAACACAAUAAGUAAUCCACCUGGGGAGUACGACCGCAAGGUUGAA